rnacentral:rRNA from 1 species
CACGUAGGGCGCAAGCGUUGUCCGGAAUUAUUGGGCGUAAAGAGCUCGUAGGUGGUUUGUUACGUCUGCUGUGAAAACCUAGGGCUUAACCCUGGGCUUGCAGUGGAUACGGGCAGACUAGAGGUAGGUAGGGGAGAAUGGAAUUCCUGGUGUAGCGGUGAAAUGCGCAGAUAUCAGGAGGAACACCGGUGGCGAAGGCGGUUCUCUGGGCCUUACCUGACACUGAGGAGCGAAAGGCGUGGGG